rnacentral:rRNA from 1 species
UAGGGAAUCUUCGGCAAUGGACGAAAGUCUGACCGAGCAACGCCGCGUGAGUGAAGAAGGUUUUCGGAUCGUAAAACUCUGUUGUUAGAGAAGAACAAGGACGUUAGUAACUGAACGUCCCCUGACGGUAUCUAACCAGAAAGCCACGGCUAACUACGUGCCAGGAGCCGCGGUAAUACGUAGGUGGCAAGCGUUGUCCUGAUUUAUUGGGCGUAAAGCGAGCGCAGGCGGUUUCUUAAGUCUGAUGUGAAAGCCCCCGGCUCAACCGGGGAGGGUCAUUGGAAACUGGGAGACUUGAGUGCAGAAGAGGAGAGUGGAAUUCCAUGUGUAGCGGUGAAAUGCGUAGAUAUAUGGAGGAACACCAGUGGCGAAGGCGGCUCUCUGGUCUGUAACUGACGCUGAGGCUCGAAAGCGUGGGGAGCAAACAGG